ACGGCGAGUGAAGCGGCAACAGCUCAAAUUUGAAAUCUGACCUCACGGUCCGAGUUGUAAUUUGCAGAGGAUGUCUCGGGUGCGACGCCGGUCUAAGUUCCUUGGAACAGGACGUCAUAGAGGGUGAGAAUCCCGUACGUGACUGGUGCUCAACCCCAUGUGAGCCUCCUUCGACGAGUCGAGUUGUUUGGGAAUGCAGCUCUAAAUGGGUGGUAAAUUUCAUCUAAAGCUAAAUACUGGCCAGAGACCGAUAGCGCACAAGUAGAGUGAUCGAAAGAUGAAAAGCACUUUGGAAAGAGAGUUAAAAAGUACGUGAAAUUGUUGAAAGGGAAGCGCUUGCAACCAGACUUGCCCGCGAGCCAUCAACCGUCCUUCGGGGCGGUGCACUGACUUGCGAUCAGGCCAGUAUCGGUUCCGGCGACCGGACAAAGGUCCUGGGAAUGUGGCUCUCUUCGGGGAGUGUUAUAGCCCAGUUCGUAAUGCGGUCAGCCGGGACCGAGGACCGCGCUUCGGCUAGGAUACUGGCGUAAUGGUUGUCAGCGACCCGUCUUGAAACACGGACCAAGGAGUCUAACAUCUAUGCGAGUGUUUGGGUGUUAAACCCAUACGCGUAAUGAAAGUGAACGGAGGUGGGAACCCUUUACGGGGCGCACCAUCGACCGAUCCUGAUGUCUUCGGAUGGAUUUGAGUACGAGCAUAGCUGUUGGGACCCGAAAGAUGGUGAACUAUACUUGAAUAGGGUGAAGCCAGAGGAAACUCUGGUGGAGGCUCGCAGCGGUUCUGACGUGCAAAUCGAUCGUCAAAUUUGGGUAUAGGGGC
rnacentral:rRNA from 1 species